rnacentral:rRNA from 1 species
GACGAACGCUGGCGGCGUGCUUAACACAUGCAAGUCGAACGGAAAGGCCCCUUUGGGGGUCCUCGAGUGGCGAACGGGUGAGUAACACGUGAGUAACCUGCCCUUGACUUCGGGAUAACUUCAGGAAGCUGGGGCUAAUACCGGAUAGGAAUCCUUGCUGCAUGGUGGGGGUUGGAAAGCUUCGGCGGUUUUGGAUGGACUCGCGGCUUAUCAGCUUGUUGGUGGGGUAGUGGCUUACCAAGGCUUUGACGGGUAGCCGGCCUGAGAGGGCGACCGGCCACAUUGGGACUGAGAUACGGCCCAGACUCCUACGGGAGGCAGCAGUGGGGAAUAUUGCACAAUGGGCGGAAGCCUGAUGCAGCAACGCCGCGGGCGGGAUGACGGCCUUCGGGUUGUAAACCGCUUUCAGCAGGGGCGAAGCUUGUGGUGACGGUACCUGCAGAAGAAGCACCGGCUAACUACGUG